rnacentral:misc_RNA from 1 species
GAUGAAGAACGUAGUGAAAUGCGAUAAGUAAUGUGAAUUGCAGAAUUCAGUGAAUCAUCGAAUCUUUGAACGCACAUUGCGCCCCUUGGUAUUCCGAGGGGCAUGCCUGUUCGAGCGUCAUUACACCACUCAAGCACUGCUUGGUAUUGGGCACUCGUCCGUCGAAAGACGGGCGUGCCUCGAAGACCUCGGCGGGGUUUCUCCAACUUCGGGCGUAGUAGAGUUAAAUCAAAACGUCUUAUAAGCUUGGUGAAAUCUCAUUGCCGUUAAACCUUUUUUUUUUCAGGUUGACCUCGGAUCAGGUAGGGAUACCCGCUGAACUUAAGCAUAUCAAUAAGCGGAGGA